CCUACGGGAGACAGCAGUGAGGAAUAUUGGUCAAUGGCCGGAAGGCUGAACCAGCCAAGCCGCGUGAAGGACGAAGGUGCCAAGCAUUGUAAACUUCUUUUGUCAAGGGACAAAAUCAGGCUCGAGAGCCUGACCGCGGGUACUUGAAGAAAAAGCCUCGUCUAACUCCGUUCCAGCAGCCGCGGUAAUACGGAGGAGCCGAGCGUUAUCCGGAUUUGUUGGGUUUAAAGGGAGCGUAGAUGGGGUGUUAAGUCAGGUGUGAAAGUUUGCGGCUCAACCGUAAAAUUGCAAUUGAUACUGGCAGUCUUGAGUUCAGUUGAGGUAGGCUGCAUUCGUGGUGUAGCGGUGAAAUGCUUAGAUAUCACGAAGAACUCCGAUUGCGACGGCAGCUUACUAAACUGCAACUGACAUUGAUGCUCGAAAGUGUGGGUAUCAAACAGGAUUAGCUACCCUAGUAGUC
rnacentral:rRNA from 1 species